UACAGAGGUCUCAAGCGUUGUUCGGAUUCAUUGGGCGUAAAGGGUGCGUAGGUGGCGUCGUAAGUCAGGGGUGAAAUCUCGGGGCUUAACUCCGAAACUGCAUUUGAUACUGCGGUGCUUGAGGACUGGAGAGGAGACUGGAAUUUACGGUGUAGCAGUGAAAUGCGUAGAGAUCGUAAGGAAGACCAGUGGCGAAAGCGGCUCACUGGACCGCAACUGACGCUGAGGCGCGAAAGCUAGGGGAGCAAACAGG
rnacentral:rRNA from 1 species